AUACGGAAGGUCCGGGCGUUAUCCGGAUUUAUUGGGUUUAAAGGGAGCGCAGGCGGAGAUGCAAGCGUGACGUCAAAUUUCGGGGCUCAACCCCGUCUCGCGUCGCGAACUGCGUCCCUUGGUUGCGGGAAGGGGAGGCGGAACUCGUGGUGUAGCGGUGAAAUGCAUAGAUAUCACGAAGAACUCCGAUCGCGAAGGCAGCCUUCCGGCCCGUCAACGACGCUCAUGCUCGAAGGUGCGGGUAUCAAACAGGAUUAGAUACCCUGGUAGUCCGCACAGUAAACAAUGGACACUCGUGGUCGGCGACACACUGCCGGUCACCAAGCGAAAGCGAUAAGUGUCCCACCUGGGGAGUACGCCGGCAACGGUGAAACUCAAAGGAAUUGACGGGG
rnacentral:rRNA from 1 species